rnacentral:lncRNA from 1 species
AUCUGCACUGUGAAGCUCUUAUGGUGACUUUUCACAGGCUCAACACAAAAUUUUUUCCUACACAGAUACUCAAGUACCAUCAUAUCUGCUGGGUCUGUGUCCCAAGUUGGACGGCUGUUUAUACUACUCCUUGGAAAAGUUAAAGUAUUGGAUAUAUUCAACUGGAAGGUUCAAGAGCAAAAACGGAACAAUGAAGUACAGUGGAAAAAACCCGAAUAGAGGUGUGCAAAACUGGAAUUUUCCCUGUUCUGAUUGUGGCAACUUGGUUAGGAGAUGUGUGCUGUCUUCUGGACUUCAUUGGCGUGGAUGAGAAAAGGAACACAAAAUUGACUCUCUUUCCUUUGCCCUCAUGAAAUUUCUAAGUUUAUCCUUGGAGUUGAGAAAUUUCACCAGGCUAGAUCUGAGUAUGUAUCUUCUUUUCUUUAAUCACACCUGGCACCCUUGGCGGGCAUACUUAAAAACUCAACUCUUUCAGACAGCAUAAGUUCCCUAUUCCUGGUCUAUGUGUUUCCUCUAAUGGCUUUUUUGUUACUUCUCAGAAUGCCUAUUGUUCCCUGGAUUUGUUCUCCAUUUCUCUGUUCUCACUCUUGAGUUCCUGUUCUUCAGAGGGUUCUUUGGUGUUAUGCGAAUUCUUGACAUUUGAUUUCCAUUAGCUCAGCUUCAAGCAUUCUUUAUUUCCUAUUUUUCUACUGAAUAACUUAAAUUCAAAAAUCAUGUUUAAAAUGAAUUGUUACAUUUUUAUUCUAUAUUGUUAUCCUGUAAUAUCUUCUUCCCUUAAAAUUUUCAUUCUGUAAAAUAUAUAAUUUUUAAAAUCACUACUGAAUAAGAUGAAACAAAUUUAACUUCUGAAGGCACAUUUCUGAAAUCAAAUCUUCAUUUUGCCAAUUACUAACUUUACUUUUUAUCCUUGGACCAGUGUUUCACCCUUCAAGAAAUGGUUAUGAGAAUUAAAUGAAAGACUGAGAAGCAAAGCUUGGCUCACAUUAGAUUUUUAAUAAAUUGAGUUACUUGCAUUAAAGAAACUGAAAA